rnacentral:rRNA from 1 species
UACGUAGGGUGCAAGCGUUGUCCGGAAUUAUUGGGCGUAAAGAGCUCGUAGGCGGUUUGUCGCGUCUGCUGUGAAAACUCGAGGCUUAACCUCGAGCUGUCGGCGGAAACCAUCUGGCUAGAGUCCGGAAGAGGAGAAUGGAAUUCCCGGUGUAGCGGUGAAAUGCGCAGAUAUCGGGAAGAACACCCGUGGCGAAGGCGGUUCUCUGGGACGGUACUGACGCUGAGACGCGAAAGCGUGGGGAGCGAACAGG